UAUUUUAUAUAAAAAUUAGUACUUUUUAUUAUCAUGAAACCAAUCAUAUCAAGUAACAAUUUUAAUACUAUAUACAUAUAACUUCUUAUAGAUUUUUCCAGCAUUUCCUAAAAUUUUCAUUUCAUCAAGACUGGUGUUCACAAUUUUUGAUAUUUUUACAAAAUAUCCCACAUCAAAUAAUAAUAUAGGAUUCCAAACUUUCAAAUCAUAUGCUACAACCAUAUUCUCAUCCCACCAACUCUUUUAACUUAACUUUCUUUGUGAAAAUGAAAAAUCACUUAUUCAGCGAUCUCAUUGCCCAACUCUUUUUCUGUUAACAAGAGAAACAAAGUUUAUAAUACAAGCAAGAAUCAAGUCUAUAGUUUUACCUAAUGGAUUAAGGAGUCACCAUUUGAAAAUCAAGUUUUUAUUUGGUUCAUGGUUAGAUGCUAGAUCCCAAAAUGUUAAUACGCAAGAAGCCCUCAGAUCUCAUACACGGUAAGGCUCAUGGUUUUCAUUAAAGGCCAGUCCACACCUUCAAAAUAAUAAUAAUAAUAAUAAUAAUUGUCAUAACACAGAGGCUGAUGAAGAAGGAGGAGAAGGGGGAGGCUAUUAAUGAAAACCAUAUAACCACACAUGAGUUUUCCAUCAUUGGGCAUUUGCUCACCACAAUGAAAAAGAUAACCACAAUUUCGGAUAUCCACCUGUGAUUCACUAGUGAUAUAAUGAGUUCAUCAAUCUAUACCAAUUGACCUUUUUAAAUAAACCCAUUCGAUGAUUCGAUUUCUUGAAAGGCAACAAGCUGAGGCAAAAAGCUUCUUGCUUAGCAGAUUGUCUGAAGUUCCAACUUGCAUAUAAACUCAUGCUCUUCAAAAAAGCAAACAUAGAUCUUUCUCAAAAGGCAAUAUUAAAAAACAAAGAAGUAAAAAUUCAGUGGGAGUGGUAAUGGCAUAUGAAAAUUUAAAACCAUAACUUUCAUCACAUGCUAAAACUGGGUUGAUCUAAAAGGAAAUGUAAGAGAAGUGAAGGACAAAAAAAAGAAAGAACCAGACAAUAACAUCUAUUGAUAGCCCUCAGAUCUCAUAGCUAUUAUUAGUCAUCGUCAGUUAUAACAAACUGAUUCUUAUUAAGAGCCUCCACAUCUUCAACCACAGUAGAAAAGAGAGAUAGAGAGAGAGAGAGAGAGAGAAAGAGAGAGGUGGUGGUGGUGAGGCUGAUGGUGAGGAUGAGAGUAAAGGCUCCUAAUAAAAAUCAAUUUAAACCCUCCACAAAAUAAGUUUUCCAUCAUCGGGCAGAUGUUCAUAUUGAUAUUAUUGUCGACUGAAAAAUCAGGAUACACCUAUAAUAAGAGAGGACUGCAUGCAAGAAAACAGUUCAUUUAUAAAAAAUAAAAAUAAAAAAACAGAAAGAAAGAUAAAAGAUGAAAUAAGAAAACCAAUUCAUAAACAAACAAAAUGUGUAAUUAUACUAAAACAAUUUGAGCUUAAAGCAGAAGUACAACAGGAAAAAUACAACAGCAGCUUAAACCUAUAAUCAGUUUGGGUGGGUCAGAUGUGUUCAGCUAAAUAAUGUUUCAAUGAUUAAAUGAAAUAGGACCAUAUGAAAAAUUAUGCAGUAUCUGCCCACCAAUAACCAAAAGAAAUAAACAAGGGCAAAUCCCAAAUAAAUAAAUUUUCAAAUCUCAAACCAUCAAUCUAAAUUAAGCUAUAGAAGUAAUAAUGCCAAGAAGAACAUCAACAGAAUACUAGAAAAAUCCAAGGAAUAAAUAAUGGAUAGGAUUAAAUGGAUGCAAUAUCCUCAAGAAAUGGACACCUGUAAAUACCACAAAAGCAAAUAGCUUACAAUUGGUCUAUAUCUUGUCAUAGCUGAGCACAUCUAUAAGAUAUACACACCACCAAAAUAACUUUAUUCUACUACAUAAUGUUGUUUAAUCAUAACAUCAACUUAUUCAAAUAUGCAAAAGGCAGUUAGUACAGUUCACCUGCUGAUCUUCAAGACUUAAACCAACCAGCACUGUACCCAUAUGAGAUAAGAAACACUCCAUUCACAUAAGCUUCCAGCACUAGUACCAUAGAAAAAUAAUACACAGUGCUAACUUCAACAUCACCCCCAUAGGCAUCGAAAUCUCAGAAAAUAACAAGACAAAACCAUUGGAUAUAACAAUAGUCUCCAAAACAAGUCUCAACUGGGCGAGUAUCAGUGAGAACUUCAUUCCCAAGAUUAAGAGCCAUUCAAAAUACUAGAAAAGCUCAAACUUCAUAUGAGACAAAAUGGGUUUUUUUUUUUUUUUUGCAAAUCAAGUUUCCAUUCGAAAAACAUAGAUAUGAAGAGUACAUUUACAUGGUUCUCAUUAACCUAAAAAGAUUGUCAACAGUUCAAUGUCUUAGAUGCCAUAUUACAAUAUAUAAACAAGUAAAGCCCUCAGAUCUCAUAGCUACCAAUAUUCAUAGAAGGUAAAGCUUGUAAUUUUCAUUAGAAGCCAAUCCACAACUUGAUAAUAAUAAGAAUGCUAACAGCAGUAGUAAGAAGAAGAAGAAGAAGAAGAAGAAGAAGAAGAUGAUGAUGAUGAUGAUGAGGGAGGCUCCUAGUGAAAACCACAGCAACCACACCAAAUAUGAGAAUUCCAUCAUAGGGCAGAUGGCCAAGAUUCAAAAGCUUUGUCAUCCAUGGUUUAUAGAAUGAAAUAGUCCAGAUAAUAAGAACAUAAAAGAGAGCAUAAUCACAAAGGAAGGAAUGGUAAGAAGAGGUCAGAAGAGCCAAAGAAGAAACGAGCAUAAAGACUCCCGCAGAAACCAUAAACAAAGCUGCUUCGGAAAAACACAUUCAGAAUUACAAGGAAGCAGAUUUCACAAUCAAUAGUAAUUGUAACAGAAGUUCUCAUUUGUUUAAAAGACAAUAAUAACACACGUUGUGCAUUAUGGGAUCAAAGAAAAGAUCAAGAAGCAACCCAUGUUAAGGACUUGCCUGACUUUUAGGGGAAAAAAAAAGGUGAUCAUAGGUACAACAAAGCACUUAAAACAGUGUAGACAAACUUGAUAACGCAACUUGGCCCCUCAAAUUUGUUGAAAAAUGGUGAGACUGAGGUUCCGACUAGUGCGUUUUUUAAUGAACCACACUGACCUCUCAAAAGGCUAUCUUAAUUAUAUAAUUCUGUGAAUAAAAAGGUCAAAACAUGCACAUAGUUAAAUUGAUCUCAAAUAAUAGCAGGAUAACAAAAUAAAGCACCCAUCACGUGUGUGACCCAUAGGAUGAAAAUCCGUUGCACCAAGUAAUUUCACUAGUCUUAACUCAGGUCGUAAGGGUAUAUUUCCAAUCAUUCAAAAAGUCAGCAACUUAAUUCAUGUAAUUGAAACUCCACCAGUAACCUAAUGACACCAAAAUAACAAUGUGAUAGUUGUCUGAUAUUUAAACCAAUCGAAAUCCAUUCUGAGGCAGUAGCAAUGAUAGAAGAAAACAUUUCAAUAGUUAUACCUAAACCCGAUUCAAAAACCAAAACACUUGAUCAAAUGAAACAAAAAAGAAAGGACGCAAUGGAUAGAAAAUCGCAAAAAAAAAAAAAAAACAUAGACAAAAAUAUACUAAAAAAGCCCUCAGAUCUCAUAGCUAUCAUAAGUCAUUGUUAGUAAAACAAACCGGUUUUUAUUAAGAGCCUUUCCACAUCUUUAUCCAUACUAAAGAGAAUGUGAAAGAUUGAGGGAGGAAGAGGAGAGAUAGAGAGAGAGAGAGAGAGAGAGAGAAAGCGAGAGAGAGAGAGAGAGAAGACAGAUUAAGAAGAAUAUGGCGAGGAUGAUAGUCAAGGCUCCUAACAAAAACGACUGCAACCCCCUCCAUAGAAUGAGUUUUCCAUCAUUGGGCAGAUGAAUUGAAAUAAUAACUAAUAAUCAGAACACCAGCCAUGAAUGCUUGUAAGAAACAAUUAUAAGUUUAAAAGAUUAAUUAAAAAAUUAAAAUAUAUAUAUAUCAUAAAAGAAAACAUAAUGAUCAAAACAAAUUGAAGACCACAAUAUUCUCCCUAUCUGAAGAUAAAUGAAACAAGACAUCAAGAUUUGUUUUCUUGGUUAAUAUUCAAAUAUGUUGACAAAACCAACAAAAACUCCAUACCAAAAAAGUAAUUGCAACAUUUAAAGGCAAAUGAUAUGAGAAGGGUGGUCAGAUACAGCUUUCUAGGCUAGCAUUUCCAUCAAUAUUACUCAGAGCCCAGUGCAUAUCAUCAUUCGUUCUAAAAAAUCAACAAAAGAAAGGAUAAAAAUGUCCAUUGAAUAAAACUCUAUUAUUCAAGAAAAAUCUUGCAACUGCAAGAUCCAUAAAAUCGACACCGCAUUUGAUGAAAAUCCUCAGAUCUCAUGCCUUUGAACAAACAAUCUAGGGUUUUGUACUCAAUCGCAUUCAUCAAAACCCUUUUCUAUAUAACACAGUAAUUCAUAAUAAAAACUAACAAACAACGUAGCCAUCCGACAGCUCCGCAGCCACCGUCGCAGGAGUCGUCAGCCCGGAGUGCGAGCAGAGGUAGAUGGGAUCAUGGGAAGAGGUAUAGAAUGACGUACGUAGGGUUUUAUCGCCCAUUUAUAGGCAGAGUUGAAUUCCUAAAAGAACCCUGGAUUUAGUCGUAAAUAUCUAGGUUCACCCGAUCUGGGCUUUUCUUUGGGUUUGGGCUUAUUUGAUAUAUCGAAAGUGAUGGGCCAGGCUAAGCUUUCGUGGGUUGUAUU
rnacentral:lncRNA from 1 species